GACGAACGCUGGCGGCGUGCUUAACACAUGCAAGUCGAACGGAAAGGCCCUGCUUUUGUGGGGUGCUCGAGUGGCGAACGGGUGAGUAACACGUGAGUAACCUGCCCUUGACUUUGGGAUAACUUCAGGAAACUGGGGCUAAUACCGGAUAGGAGCUCCUGCUGCAUGGUGGGGGUUGGAAAGUUUCGGCGGUUGGGGAUGGACUCGCGGCUUAUCAGCUUGUUGGUGGGGUAGUGGCUUACCAAGGCUUUGACGGGUAGCCGGCCUGAGAGGGUGACCGGCCACAUUGGGACGGAGAUACGGCACAGACUCCUACGGGAGGCAGCAGAGGGGAAUAUUGCACAAUGGGCGGAAGCCUGAUGCAGCAACGCCGCGUGCGGGAUGACGGCAUUCGGGUUGUAAACCGCUUUCGCCUGUGACGAAGCGUGAGUGACGGUAAUGGGUAAAGAAGCACCGGCUAACUACGUG
rnacentral:rRNA from 1 species